rnacentral:misc_RNA from 1 species
GACUUGCGUAGUUGGUGGCGAAUGACGCCAUUCAUGUGUAAGCAAUAUAGUGAAGAUUGUUAUGUCGUGCCUGCUGAUACUGUAAAUGAAUACUGUUAAAAGUGAGACCGAGAACAAAAUAAAAUAUCAACAUCAAGUGUAACUGCCACCAUCUUACCCUGUGCACCACAUCGGGAGAGAAGUAAACAUUUUGAUGGGACAGGGUCGAUAUCGGCCCGGAGUUCGGGAAAUUCGGCAAGCUGGAACUCAUGGAAUUGGAGAAUAUAGUUGCGAACACUGUUUACUUAAAAGCAAGAGAAGGGGGUGCAGAUAGUAACAAAGGAAAAAGUAAGAAAUGGAGAAAAAUUCUUCAGUUUCCUCACAUAUCACAGUGCAUUGAUUUGAAAAACAAAAUAGAUGCACGCUAUUCUUACGUUGUAGAUCAUCAACCAAUUGGUCGAUUACUGUUUCGGCAGUUCUGUGAAAAUGAGAAGCAACAAUACCACCAUUACAAUGCUUUUCUUGAUGCUGUUGAAAGAUACGAGUUGGAAUCUGAUGAAAAACGUAUGGAGGUUGCGCAAACUAUCUAUGGCAGAUAUUUAAAUCAAGAGUCAAGUGAAGCUGUAGAUAUUCUGAACAGUGAACUCACUGAGCAUUGCAAGGAGAAACUGGCAGCUGGUAAUAAGGACCUGUUUUUAGAAUGUACAAAUGCUGUAAAAACCUUUCUUGCUGGAGACCCAUUUCGCCAGUUUGAAUGUUCCAUGUACUUCCAUCGUUACUUGCAGUGGAAGUGGCUGGAAAGCCAGCCAAUCACGUAUAAAACAUUCAGAAUGUACAGAGUUUUAGGAAAAGGUGGUUUUGGUGAAGUGUGUGCUUGCCAGGUGAGAGCAACAGGAAAAAUGUAUGCCUGUAAGAAAUUAGAAAAAAAACGAAUUAAAAAAAGAAAAGGAGAAGCCAUGGUUUUAACUGAAAAACAGAUACUCCAGAAAAUCAAUUCAAAGUUUGUGGUGAGUCUUGCUUAUGCUUAUGAGACUAAGGAUGCUCUGUGCCUUGUUCUGACAAUCAUGAAUGGUGGUGAUCUUAAAUUCCAUAUUUAUAAUAUGGGUGGUGAGCCUGGUUUUGAUAUUCAUAGGGCUAGAUUUUAUGCAGCAGAGGUGUUGUGUGGGUUGGAACACUUGCAUGCUCAAGGAAUUGUGUACAGAGAUUGCAAACCUGAGAACAUUUUGCUGGAUGACCAUGGACACGUGCGUAUAUCAGAUCUGGGUUUGGCAGUUGAAAUUCCAGAGGGAGAGAUGGUCCGCGGCAGAGUGGGAACUGUUGGUUAUAUGGCUCCUGAGGUUAUUGAUAAUGAAAGGUACACAUUCAGCCCUGACUGGUUUAGUUUUGGUUGUUUGAUAUAUGAAAUGAUUGAAGGUCAAGCUCCUUUCCGAGCAAGGAAAGAAAAGGUUAAGCGAGAGGAAGUGGACCGUAGAGUCAAAGAAGAUCAGGAAAAAUACUCCCAUAAAUUUAGUGAAGAGGCAAAGUCACUUUGUCAGCGGCUUUUGAAGAAGUCACCAAAAGCACGUUUAGGAUGUCACAAUGGGAGGAUGGGAGCAUUGGAAGUUAAACAGCAUGAGUUCUUCAGGUGUUUGAAUUGGAAGCGACUUGAAGCAGGAGUAUAUGAGCCUCCAUUUGUUCCAGAUCCCAACGCUGUUUGUCCUGCAGCCACACGCCGUAUACGCCAAGGAUGUCCUGGAUAUUGAGCAGUUCUCAACCGUGAAAGGCGUCAAUUUAGAUGCCUCGGAUGACACGUUUUAUAGCAAGUUCAACACUGGUUCUGUGUCAAUACCAUGGCAGAAUGAGAUGGUUGAGACAGAAUGCUUCAAGGAACUAAAUGUAUUUGGUCCAAACAACACUCCAACUCCAGACCUUAUCAUUGAUGCUUUACCAGAACCUGAUAAAAAAGGGUGCUUUCCUUUUAGGAGAAAG